ACAACACAACAAUUGUGACCUCUCAAUAAAAUGUAGACCAGUACGAUAACACGGAAAACUAAAACCUUAAACAAUAAAGAUAUCUUUACAUUAAUACCUCUCUGACAGUGUCAGUCAAAUCUGAACACCAUUGUCUUUGUAAAUGUAGAAUUUAGGGGGAGAGUUUCCUCCAGGGCCAAAGUUGACUCUAACUGUCGGGGCUAACGUCUUCACUUUAUCUUCAGCAGUUGGUAAACAAUACACAGAAACUUCACUUUACAACUGUAACUCACACUGUACACUGACUGCUAAACCCAAAAACCUAUGGCUAACCUGUGUCUCUCUGCUGCCGUUCACCGUCACACACAGUCACUCUUGUUCACACACACCCGCUCUCUCUCUCUCGCUCUACCACACACACACACACACACACACACGCACACACACACACACACACACACACACACACACACACACACACACACACACACACAUACGUUACGCUCACACAUCACACACUGCUCUAUUGCUUAAAGGAGCUACGCUACUCUGAUAACAUAGAGCUGUUGAUCUGGACUGUAAUAGAUUUUACAGGUUUACCUAAUAAAGAACCACUGAAUGUAUAACUGCUAAUAACUACAUCACAGUGUGUUAUUAAUCAUCAAUUACAUCUUUAUAUAUUGUUAGUGAAUGCUUAAAGUAAAGUGUUGCAUUUUAAAUCCUUUUCAAAUGCUUCUAAUAUUUUCAUUUAGAUUGUAGUGAAGCAGUAUUUCCUGUUUAUUGUUAAUGUAUUACGUAAAUCCUUUUUAAUGCUUGUCUAUGCCUUCAGAGUGGUUUAAUCCACAUGUACACUUUAAACAUACAACUGGAACAUUUUGGACCAAAGUACUGUAGCACCCCAACACUCAGUAAACGACUAAGUUAAAGGAACUCACCUUGGACUUGAAUGAUGGGGUGUUUGGGUUCGAUUUAUUAAGGUAGCUACCACGAAGGAUGAAUAAUCAACAACACUGUUAGACUUAUCACUGGCUCUAUUCACACAUACUCUACACUAUUUUAAAUAACUGACCCCCGACAACUCUUUCAAAUAAAUGAAAUAAUAUUUUACUGACCUGUUGUUAGCAGUGUAACACAAAUAAUAUUUACUUUGUUAGUUAAAAAAAAACCCAAAUGAAAUAACACAAUUACUCAAAUCGUUUAAAAUACAAUAUUAUAUUUGAAAUACUACAUUUUAAACAAAUGUACCUUUACCAAAAUUGGCAAAAACACCGUAGAAAAUGAGACACUUAUAAAAUAGUAUUGGCAAUAUUAAAAUACUAUUCAAAACUUAAAUUAUCUCAGGUCUCUGCUAAAAUUCCUUGUUCUUACCCCUUUAAUACGAUUUCUUUAUACUUACCAGACUCAGAUCAGAUAUGCUACUUAACUAAACAAAAUAAAACAGCGGACCCACACACACACACACACACACACACACACACACACACACACACUCUCACAUACACACAAAAAUAAAAAAGUUGUAGGCCUGUGUGUAACUCGGGUGCAGUGCGGCUGACAAAUCUUUAUUCUAUAACAGUCACACAGAAAAUCCAGAAGCAUGCACGUUACUGUCGUGGUACGUUACCUGACUGUUUAGUCAGGACACUGUUUGAAAACAUUUUUAUUUUUUUAAUUCAAUUCAAUUUUAUUUGUAUAGCACCAAUUCAUAACAGAAGUUAUCUCAGGACACUUUUCAAAUAGAGCAGGUCUAGACCGAACUCUUUAUAACAUUAUUUACAGAGACCCAACAGUACCACCAUGAGCAAGACCUUGGAGACAAGGGCAAGGAAAAACUGCCUGUUAAAAGGCAGAAACCUAGGACAGAUCCUCCGGCUCUAGGUGGGUGGUCGUCUGUCUUGACCAACUGGGGUGAGAGAGAGAGAGAGAGAGAGAGAGAGAGAGAGAGAGACAGACAGACAGACAGACAGACAGUCAGACAGACAGACAGACAGGUGCACAGUAACAACAUUAUUGGCAACGGCAAUCUAGCUGGACCAUGGCAGGAGGCUCCACCAGGAUCCAUGAGAACCUGCGAGACGAGAAAGCACAAGAACUCCGGGGAAGAAGUGGAGUUAGUAACAUGCAUUAAUGGGACAUGAAUGAGUGCAGAAAGAGAGAGGAAGAGAGGAGCUCAGUGCACCAUGGGAAAUCCCCCGAUAGUCUAGGCCUAUAGCAGCAUAACUAAGGGAUGGUUCAGGACUCACCUGAUCCAGCCCUAACUAUAAGCUUUAUCAAAGAGGAAUGUCUUAAGCCUACUCUUGAAUGUGGUGAGGGUGUCUGCCUCCAGAACCACAACUGGAAGCUGGUUCCACAGGAGAGGAGCUUGGUAACUGAAGGCUCUGGCUCCUGUUCUACUUUUAGAGACUAUAGGAACCACAAGUAGCCCAGCAUUCAGAGAACGUAGUGUUCUAGAGGGGUAAUAGGGUACUAUGAGCUCUUUAAGAUAUGAAGGGGCCUGACCAUGAAGAGCUUUAUACGUGAGGAGGAGGAUUUUAAAUUCUAUUCUACAUUUUACAGGGAGCCAAUGCAGAGAAGCUAGUACAGGAGAGAUGUGAUCUCUUUUUCUAGUUCCUGUCAGUACUCGUGCUGCAGCGUUCUGAAUUAAUUGGAGCGUUUUAAUGGACUUAUUGGGGCAACCUUAUAAUAAAGAGUUGCAGUAAUCCAGCCUUGAAGUAACAAAUGCAUGGAUUAGUUUUUCUGCAUCUGUCA